rnacentral:rRNA from 1 species
GACGAACGCUGGCGGCGUGCUUAACACAUGCAAGUCGAACGGAAAGGCCCUGCUUUUGUGGGGUGCUCGAGUGGCGAACGGGUGAGUAACACGUGAGUAACCUGCCCUUGACUUUGGGAUAACUUCAGGAAACUGGGGCUAAUCCCGGAUAGGAGCUCCUGCUGCAUGGGGGGGGUUGGAACGUUUCGGCGGUUGGGGAUGGACUCGCGGCUUAUCAGCUUGUUGGUGGGGUAGUGGCUUACCAAGGCUUUGACGGGUAGCCGGCCUGAGAGGGUGACCGGCCACAUUGGGACUGAGAUACGGCCCAGACUCCUACGGGAGGCAGCAGUGGGGAAUAUUGCACAAUGGGCGGAAGCCUGAUGCAGCAACGCCGCGUGCGGGAUGACGGCCUUCGGGUUGUAAACCGCUUUCGCCUGUGACGAAGCGUGAGUGACGGUAAUGGGUAAAGAAGCACCGGCUAACUACGUG